rnacentral:tRNA from 1 species
GGACGGGUACCCUAGUGGCCAAAGGGACUGGACUUUUAAUCCGGCGCAAUUGCUUCGUGGGUUCGAAUCCCGCCCCGUCCUCUA